rnacentral:lncRNA from 1 species
UCACAAUCUUUAUUUGAAAAAACUUUAUUACAAUCAUCUAAAACAGAAUUUUUAUUACAUAGUAAACUUUUUAUUCUACAUUCUAUUUGCUGAUUUUUGACUAACAUAACAAGCUUUUCAUUGGAAAUAUGUCCAAGUCUGUUAUGCCAAGUUUUAGAGUCUAGGGAUGUAUAUGCAUAACCAGGGGGAUUAGAACUGUAUAUGUAGAGCCCAUCUUGGCUCCUACCCUUCCCAAUCACUUUUCCUGAUUUGCUUCCCUGAAAAUAACAAUUUUUAUCAUCAAAUAAAAUUUUUAAGUUGCUGUCCAGAGUUAGUUUGUUUACUAAAAUUAAGUUUACUUUGAAUUGUGGUAUAUAAAGAACAUCUUGUAGAAUUAGAUCUUUGAAAAGUGUUAUUUUUUCUAUUGACUUAGUUCUACAUAUCUCACCACUUGGAAUAGUGACAAAAUGUUCACAAUUUUCAGUUGGUGAUUUAUCAAAGAUCUGAAGAUUCUCAGUCAUAUGUUGGGAAGCUCCAGUGUUUAUGAUCCACUCUGUUUUAAGAUCUAUCACAUUAUAUAAAUGAUUUAUUUUGAAAUUUAAAGCAUUAAAAAAAUGACUCAUACCAUUGUUUUUCAAGAAGUCCUUGAGCAUUAGAAUUUCUUCACUAGACAUUCCUGGAAUGGUAGAAUUUGAGGAUGAGGCUUGAUUUGCAGACUCAAUCUUAGCCUUCUUGAACUUGUUUCCUUUCUUGUUAUUCUCUUUGUUCUUGUCAUUUGGAAACCCAACAAUGUGAUAGCAAUCUUUUUUUAUAUGCCCAUAAUACUUACAAUUAUCACAAUAUUUUAAAACAUCUAAUUUUUUGCCAUUUUUGCUAUAGAAUCCUUUUUCCUCUUCUUUUUCAUUUGUUCUUUUAGCAUAUAGGGCAGAUGAUUCUAUAAGCUUAUCAACUUUAUCUCUAAAACAGAUUUUCUGUUUUUCCUCUUGUAUGACAAGAUAAAAAACUUUGUUCAUGUUGGGCAGCUCAUCAUACGAAAGGAUUUGCCCUCUUAGGAUUUUAAAAUCCUCAUUCAGUCCUAAUAAGAACUGAUGGAUUUUAUCCUUCUCUAGUUUGACAUUGUAUUUGGGUGUGCAUGAACUACAAAAAUCAAUGUCUUCUAAUUCUAUUUUUUGAUUCCAUAAGGAUUUGAACUUAUCAUAAAAAACAGUGACACUAUCAGAUCCUUGAUGUAAAUUAUUUAGAUCAUACCUUAUUUGGUUAACCUUAGGUGCAUUUCCUUGGUUAUACCUUUCUUGGAUAUCCUUCCAAGCAAUGCUUGCUCCUUCAGUAUGCAUGAGUGUGGAUGAUAUAUGAGGUGAUACACUGUUGACAAUCCAUGAGAGAACUAAGCCAUUCACUGUCUCCCAAGCUUCAAAUUCUUUUCCUCCUCUAGUUUUUGAAUUUUCCCAUUUACAAAGUUAAUUUUUCUUCUGGACAGCAAGGAGAGUCUCAUAGCAUUUGCCCAACUUGCAUAAUUGGACUCCCCAACCAGCUUAUCAGAAACCAUCAUUGCCCCCGGAUGAUCUCCAGAAUUCAAAAAAUAGAUGGAUUCUCUGUCGUUUAUUUCUGAAACAGGGCCUGAUCUCUUUGAUUUGCGAGAAUGAUGUUUGUGAUGACUCUUAUGUCUAUGCUUGGAGGAUGAGUGCGACCUGCGGCGAGGAGAAUGGAGGAUUGAUGGUGGAGAGGAUGGAGCAGAACUCGACGACCCUGACUGGUUAUCUUGCUCAUUUUGGGUAACGACGAUCUCUAUCUCUUCUUCAUUAGCGGAAGUGCGGCCGUUAUUACUGGCAGAUACCAUGUGAAAAUGUGAGCACGCUCUGUAGUUGAAGAGCGCGCAGAACGCAGUUCCAGAAGCUCGCCGGACGGUGAGCAAUUGACUGGAAUGGGGGAGAAAUUAGGGUAAUUCGUAUUACCUAAUUUCUUGACCGUUAACACUGUAGAGAGGUGAUUAGUAUAAACUCUAGUUGAUUAACACUUUGAUUCAAUUGAUCAAUUAACUAAACGGAUCUUUAAUCGGAUGGUAGUCCAAAUACCCAUUAGCCCGAUAUUCUAUUUUAAGUGGCUAAAGUUGUAGUCUGGUCCUCAUGCUUUCUUGUAUUUCCCGAGUGCCUGUAAGUGGUUAAAGUUGCAAUCCGACCCUCGUGAUUCAUUGUAUCUCGUAACUACCUUUAAGUAGUGCGUUUUUCCUUUUUGACCUCACAGUUUCUUUCUUUAGAUGAAACUGUAUGACCCUUUGUUUUAUCUAUUUAUAAGUAGAUCCAGUUCAGUAUAGGAUGUUUAUUUAAACACCCUGUUUUAUAACUAAUCAUUCUGAUUACUCUUUUACCCUACACCUCUUAGGAAAACUAAAUUGCUGAAAGAAAACACAGACACCUUCUAGAUGUAGCUAGAAGUAUCAUGUUUCACUCAAAACUCCCAAUAAAAUACUGGGAAAAAUGCAUACUUACAGUUGCAUUUUUAAUAAACAGAACACCCUCCCCUGUGAUAUAGAAUAAAACACCCUACCAUCUACUAUUCAACAAAGAACCAGACUAUAACUCGCUAAAAGUUUUUGGAUGUCUAUGUUAUGUCAAAAACAAGAAAAUAACUGACAAAUUUGAACCUAGAGCAAUCAAAGGAGUUUUCCUUGGACACUCAACCCUAAGUAAGGGAUAUCCUAGACUUAGAAAAAGGAACAACAUUUAUAAAUAGGGAUGUAACAUUUUAUGAAACAAUAUUCCAUUUUAAAACACAAGAAACACCAAUAACCAACACUCAACCACUAAUAAGAGAUAUAAACAACAUAACACAAACAACAAUACCAUCAAUAACAACUACACCCCCACCAAACCAAACAAAAGAACUAGAUCAACAACCUGAACAAACAAGGUCAAACAGAGAAAUUAAAAGACCAAAAAGAUAUGAGGACUACAUAUGUUAUAAUGCAAAUAAAUCCAACUAUCCGGUAGAAAAAUAUAUAUCAUACAAAAAUAUUUCAGAAAAACACAAGAUUUUUCUCAUAGAAAUAAGUAUGGUAAAAGAACCAAACUCCUAUUCCCAAGCUAUUAAAUACAAAAACUGGUGUAAGGCAAUGGAGAAUGAAUUGAAAGCACUAGAUGAGAACAAAACUUGGGAAAUUGUGGAACUUCUACAACAAAAGAAAGCAAUAGGCAAUAAAUGAGUUUACAAAGCAAAAUUCAAUUCAGAUGGAACCUUAGAAAGAUACAAAGCUAGACUAGUCGCAAAAGGGUACAAUCAAAUAGAAGGAAUAGAUUAUACAGAUACUUUUGCCCCUGUAUCAAGAAUGACAACAUUAAAAAUUCUAAUAGCUCUAGCAGCAACCCAAAACAAAUGGAUGUACAAAAUACCUUUUAAUUUACAUGGGGAAUUAAAUGAAAAAGUAUUCAUAAAAAUCCCUCAAGGACUGACAAUUAAAAACGGGAAAACACAAAACAAAAACCUAGCAUGCAAACUAAAGAAAUCAUUAUAUGACUUAAAACAAGUCUCUAGGAUGUGGUUUCACAAAUUAAACAGUGUCUUAAAGAUACUAGGUUUUAAACAAACUAAAACAGACUAUGCCUUAUUCAUAAAAGAAGAAGGAGAAUAAAAAAUAAUCAUAUUGGUAUAUGUCGAUGACAUACUAAUAACAGACAAUAACUUAAACAAAAUCAACAAAACAAAGAAGGAACUAGCAAACUUCUUCAACAUAAAAGAUUUAGGGAAGUUGAAAUAUUUUAUAAGACUAGAAUUUUCCUUUUCACCUAAAGGCAUCUACAUGGGACAAAGGAUAUAUGCCUUAAAUCUCCUAAAAACAACAGAUACCUGAAUUCAAAACCAUCCAACACACCAG